GAUGAACGCUGGCGGCGUGCCUAAUACAUGCAAGUCGAGCGAACGGACGAGAAGCUUGCUUCUCUGAUGUUAGCGGCGGACGGGUGAGUAACACGUGGAUAACCUACCUAUAAGGCUGGGAUAACUUCGGGAAACCGGAGCUAAUACCGGAUAAUAUUUUGAACCGCAUGGUUCAAAAGUGAAAGACGGUCUUGCUGUCACUUAUAGAUGGAUCCGCGCUGCAUUAGCUAGUUGGUAAGGUAACGGCUUACCAAGGCAACGAUGCAUAGCCGACCUGAGAGGGUGAUCGGCCACACUGGAACUGAGACACGGUCCAGACUCCUACGGGAGGCAGCAGUAGGGAAUCUUCCGCAAUGGGCGAAAGCCUGACGGAGCAACGCCGCGUGAGUGAUGAAGGUCUUCGGAUCGUAAAACUCUGUUAUUAGGGAAGAACAUAUGUGUAAGUAACUGUGCACAUCUUGACGGUACCUAAUCAGAAAGCCACGGCUAACUACGUGCCAGCAGCCGCGGUAAUACGUAGGUGGCAAGCGUUAUCCGGAAUUAUUGGGCGUAAAGCGCGCGUAGGCGGUUUUUUAAGUCUGAUGUGAAAGCCCACGGCUCAACCGUGGAGGGUCAUUGGAAACUGGAAAACUUGAGUGCAGAAGAGGAAAGUGGAAUUCCAUGUGUAGCGGUGAAAUGCGCAGAGAUAUGGAGGAACACCAGUGGCGAAGGCGACUUUCUGGUCUGUAACUGACGCUGAUGUGCGAAAGCGUGGGGAUCAAACAGGAUUAGAUACCCUGGUAGUCCACGCCGUAAACGAUGAGUGCUAAGUGUUAGGGGGUUUCCGCCCCUUAGUGCUGCAGCUAACGCAUUAAGCACUCCGCCUGGGGAGUACGACCGCAAGGUUGAAACUCAAAGGAAUUGACGGGGACCCGCACAAGCGGUGGAGCAUGUGGUUUAAUUCGAAGCAACGCGAAGAACCUUACCAAAUCUUGACAUCCUUUGACAACUCUAGAGAUAGAGCUUUCCCCUUCGGGGGACAAAGUGACAGGUGGUGCAUGGUUGUCGUCAGCUCGUGUCGUGAGAUGUUGGGUUAAGUCCCGCAACGAGCGCAACCCUUAAGCUUAGUUGCCAUCAUUAAGUUGGGCACUCUAAGUUGACUGCCGGUGACAAACCGGAGGAAGGUGGGGAUGACGUCAAAUCAUCAUGCCCCUUAUGAUUUGGGCUACACACGUGCUACAAUGGACAAUACAAAGGGCAGCGAAACCGUGAGGUCAAGCAAAUCCCAUAAAGUUGUUCUCAGUUCGGAUUGUAGUCUGCAACUCGACUACAUGAAGCUGGAAUCGCUAGUAAUCGUAGAUCAGCAUGCUACGGUGAAUACGUUCCCGGGUCU
rnacentral:rRNA from 1 species